UUCCAGGAGGGGGAGGGGGAAGGACAUGAAAGAGGAAGAGAGGGGAGAGGGUUACAAUUGAAUUUACCCUGCCACAGCCCAAUAUGAGAAACAGCCCUGGAAAACAGUUAUGGUCAGCUCCUGUAGCCUUCAUAAGACAUGACUCAUCCCUUCCUACCAUCUCUGCCCAUCUAGCCUCCCAAGUGAGCCCUAACAGAUGUUCCCUCCCAUUAGCAUGCCCAGCUGCCUCGUCCCACUGGUCCUCACAGCUCUCCCUGACCAGAUGUACUGCUGUAUUGUUAGCUGCCCCGUGCCGUGGUCUUUGUCUUUUUGACUAAUUGAUCUUUUUGGCUGACACAGGAAGUACUGAAGAGAGAGAUUUUGAAGAAUGCCUGAUAAAUCAGCAGGGUUUUGAACAUGUUACACAUGUUCUUUGUUCAUUUUGACAGUAAAGGCAGCAAUGGCUACCUCUCAGGA